UCUUUUAAUUGAAGGCUGGAAUGAAUGGUUGGACAAAUAUUAACUGUUUCAUAAAUAUUUAAAAUAAAAUUUUAUUUUUUAGUUAAAAAGCUAAAAUUUAUUUAAAAGACGAGAAGACCCUAUAAAUCUUUAUAAUUUAAUUAUUAAAAAUUUAUAGAAUUUUUUUAUUAUAAUUUUAAAUAUUAUUUUAUUGGGGUGAUAUUAAAAUUUAAUUAACUUUUGAUUAAAUAAAUUCAUUAAUUUAUGAAUAAUUGAUCCAUUAUUAAUGAUUAAAAAAAUAAGUUACUUUAGGGAUAACAGCGUUAUUUUUUUGGAGAGUUCAUAUCGAUAAAAAAGAUUGC
rnacentral:rRNA from 1 species